UUGGAAGGUGUGACUGGCACGGACAACCGAACGUGGGUCUCUGUGGAUGACGUGUCCCUGGAUCCUGGUUGCUGUUUGGGAGAAGCCCCGACUACUUCAAGUCCAACUACAGUGGGCACCAGUCCAUCAGGUUCUACAACAGUGCAAGGAACAUCUCCUGCUUCAGAGACCACGCCGUCCCACACAAUAAGCACCACAGCAGAAG